UUGCACACUUCUCAGUAUAAAAACACGUUAAAAACUCUAAAAUUUUUUUACAGUCAUUACCUUGGUGACUCUUAUUUACCACAGUCUCCAAGUUCAAAACCAAGACCAUAUCUCAAGAUCAAAUUGAAUAAAAACAUGUUUUACAUAACUACUUACAGUAAAUCUUAAAUAUGCUAUCGGUACUUUUCAGCGUAUAGAACUUGGGCUCAAGCUGAGGUGACCUCCUGUCCCUUUUAUCACCAAUUUUCUUGUACACUAUUAGUUAUCUGAUACUAAACACUACUUCUGUCUCCUCUGCAGAAAAACUGCUUGACCAUGCAGGCUAACCUUGCAUCAAUCCGUAGUUAUGAGGAAUACCAGUUUAUUCACAGGCUGAUAAUAGAUUCAGUGAAUUCCUGCGUGGAGACGUGGAUUGGAGGCACUAAUGCACAAGAGAGUUCUGUUUGGUUGUGGAGUGAUGGAAGCAAUUUUCUGGAUGCAAACUGGUGUCCUGGACAGCCUUAUAGUGGAAACCGCUGUGCAACAAUGAAUUAUGAUGGUAAAUCAAAUUAUCCAGGAUGAUUACCCGUUUCUGGGAAGAUUCAAGGACUCUGUUAACUUUUAUGUCAUAAUCGAUCAAUUGUCUUAAACCAGUUUUAGUUUCUUGAAAAACUGAGAUCUGUUUGUUAGUUUUAAAAGGCAUUACGGAUUAUUUUAGAGAUUUUCUGCUGUUUGGUUUUCAGUUUUCACACACUGAAGUGCAGAAUCAAGAAAAAACUAACAGAAAUUAGACACAAUUAAUGCUUAACUCCAUCCACCGAAAUAACUAAACCUUUAAU